GCUACACCAUAAGAAGCAUGUGACUGUCUCCUCUGGUUUCAGUAUCUUGUUUCCAGCAUGAACAGACAGUGUUUUAGUGUUUAUAGGCACCAAACUGGUAAUACUCUGAAAUGAAAUUUGCAUGGAAAAUCCACUAUCAUGAUGGAGGAAUGCGGUGUCCCAAUAGUGAUGAGUGAUUUGAGAGGCCAUAUUUCAUUGCUGUCAACAGUUUCCCAGCAGAAGUUCAAUCAACUGCAAUUGUUGAAAGAAAAAGGAAGAAGUAGAAGAAGUUUACUGGAAAUGCCAUAAAAAUAUUCAGAGCUGAAAGAGAGUCACUGGCUCCAAGUCACCCAGCCAGUUUUUCACGCCUAAAGCAUAACUAGAACUCAGAAUCUCCUGGUUUCCAGACUGGCACCAUAGCUACUAGACCAAACUGACUCUACUUUAAUCAAACAACAAUAGUAAUACAAAAUAUUGUUACCAACCUUUGGGGGUAGAUAACAGCUGGCAAUAGAUUCAUACAGAUUAAAAUGUAUCCAAGAAAGGCAUUGCUAUGUAUUUCCUUUCUCAAUAGAAAAUAAACAACUGUGCUUUUUAUA